UACGGAGGAUGCAAGCGUUAUCCGGAUUUAUUGGGUUUAAAGGGUGCGUAGGCGGGAUAAUAAGUCAGUGGUGAAAGCCUGUAGCUUAACUAUAGAAAUGCCAUUGAUACUGUUGUUCUUGAGUACAGUUGAGGUAGGCGGAAUGUGUAAUGUAGCGGUGAAAUGCUUAGAUAUUACACAGAACACCGAUUGCGAAGGCAGCUUACUAAGCUGGUACUGACGCUGAGGCACGAAAGCGUGGGGAGCAAACAGGAUUAGAUA
rnacentral:rRNA from 1 species